GUCACCUACGGGGGGCAGCAGUGAGGAAUAUUGGUCAAUGGGCGGAAGCCUGAACCAGCCAAGUCGCGUGAGGGAAUAAGGCCCUACGGGUCGUAAACCUUUUUUGCCGGGGAGAAAGGGCCGGGACGAGUCCCGGUCUGGUGAGUACUCGGAGAAAAAGCAUCGGCUAACUCCGUGCCAGCAGCCGCGGUAAUACGGAGGAUGCGAGCGUUAUCCGGAUUUAUUGGGUUUGAAGGGUGCGUAGGCGGGAUUUUAAGUCAGCGGUAAUA
rnacentral:rRNA from 1 species